rnacentral:rRNA from 1 species
CCCUUAGAUGUUCUGGGCCGCACGCGCGCUACACUGCUGCAUUCAACGAGUCUAAAACCUGCUCUGAUAGGGGUGGGUAAUCUUUUGAAUGUGCAUCGUGAUUGGGAUAGAUGAUUGAAAUUUUUCAUCUUCAACGAGGAAUGCCUAGUAAACGCAAGUCAUCAGCUUGCAUUGAUUACGUCCCUGCCCUUUGUACACACCGCCCGUCGCUCCUACCGAUUGAAUGAUCCGAUGAAUAUCAUGGAUUGAGGAUGCAAGUAGGUUCACCUAUCUUCAUCUUCGAGAAGUGAAGUAAAUCUUAUCAUUUAGAGGAAGGAGAAGUCGUAACA